rnacentral:rRNA from 1 species
UAAGCAUAUCAAUAAGCGGAGGAAAAGAAACCAACAGGGAUUGCCUCAGUAACGGCGAGUGAAGCGGCAACAGCUCAAAUUUGAAAUCUGGCUCCCUUUGGGCGCCCGAGUUGUAAUUUGCAGAGGGUGCUUUGGCGUCGGCAGCGGCCUAAGUUCCUUGGAACAGGGCGUCACAGAGGGUGAGAAUCCCGUACGUGGCCGCCGGCCUUCGCCGUGUAAAGCCCCUUCGACGAGUCGAGUUGUUUGGGAAUGCAGCUCUAAAUGGGAGGUAAAUUCCUUCUAAAGCUAAAUACUGGCCAGAGACCGAUAGCGCACAAGUAGAGUGAUCGAAAGAUGAAAAGCACUUUGGAAAGAGAGUCAAAAAGCACGUGAAAUUGUUGAAAGGGAAGCGCUUGCAGCCAGACUUGCCCGCGGUCGUUCUUCUUCCGCGGGCAGGCCAGCAUCAGUCUGGGCGGUCGGAUAAAGGCCUCGGGAACGUAGCUCUCUCCGGGGAGUGUUAUAGCCCGGGGCGUCAUGCGGCCAGCCCGGACUGAGGUCCGCGCAUCUGCUAGGAUGCUGGCGUAAUGGCUGUAAGCGGCCCGUCUUGAAACACGGACCAAGGAGUCUAACAUCUAUGCGAGUGUUUGGGUGUCAAGCCCGGGCGCGCAAUGAAAGUGAACGGAGGUGGGAACCCCUCGGGGCGCACCAUCGACCGAUCCUGAUGUCUUCGGAUGGAUUUGAGUAAGAGCAUAGCUGUUGGGACCCGAAAGAUGGUGAACUAUGCCUGAAUAGGGUGAAGCCAGAGGAAACUCUGGUGGAGGCUCGCAGCGGUUCUGACGUGCAAAUCGAUCGUCAAAUUUGGGGCAUAGGGGGCGAAAGACUAAUCGAACUAUCUAGUAGCUGGUUCCUGCCGAAGCUCCCCCCCCCCGGAGAA